AUUGAACGCUGGCGGCAGGCUUAACACAUGCAAGUCGAGCGAGCGGCGGACGGGUGAGUAAUGUUCGGGAAACUGCCUGAUGGAGGGGGCUAACUACCGGAAACGGUAGCUAAUAUCGCAUACCAUCAGAUGUGCCCAGAUGGGAUUAGCUAGUAGGUGGGGCAAUGGCUCACCUAGGCGACGAUCCCUAGCUGGUCUGAGAGGAUGACCAGCCACACUGGAGCUGAGACACGGUCCGGACGCCUGCGGGAGGCAGCAGUGGGGAAUAUUGCACAAUGGGCGCAAGCCUGAUACAGCCAUGCCGCGUGUGUGGAGAAGGCCUUCGGGUUGUAAAGCACUUUCAGCGGGGAGGCGUUACUCGCAGAAGAAGCACCGGCUAACUCCGUGCCAGCAGCCGCGGUAGUAC
rnacentral:rRNA from 1 species